rnacentral:tRNA from 1 species
GGGGAUUUAGCUCAGUGGUAGAGCGCUUGCCUAGCAAGCACAAGGCCCUGGGUUCAGUCCCCAGCCCCG